GGGGGUGUAGCUCAGUGGUAGAGCGUUCGAUUUGCAUUCGAAAGGCCCGGGGUUCGAUACCCCGCUCCUCCA